rnacentral:rRNA from 1 species
CCUACGGGAGGCAGCAGUGGGGAAUAUUGGACAAUGGGGGCAACCCUGAUCCAGCCAUGCCGCGUGUGUGAAGAAGGCCCUCGGGUUGUAAAGCACUUUCAGUGAGGAAGAACGCCUGGUGGUUAAUACCCAUCAGGAAAGACAUCACUCACAGAAGAAGCACCGGCUAACUCCGUGCCAGCAGCCGCGGGUAAUACGGAGGGUGCGAGCGUUAAUCGGAAUUACUGGGCGUAAAGCGCGCGUAGGUGGCUUGAUAAGCCGGUUGUGAAAGCCCCGGGCUCAACCUGGGAACGGCAUCCGGAACUGGCAAACUAGGGGGCCGGAGGGGGAGGUUAGAAUCCCGGUGGAGCCGGGAAAAGCGGUAGGGUCGGGGAGAAUAACAGUGGCGAAGGCGGCCUUCUGGACUGACACUGACACUGAGGUGCGAAAGCGUGGGUAGCAAACAGGAUUAGAUACCCUGGUAGUC